AUGGGGUCUUCUUCUCCAUCCAUAGGUCUCUGGGCGGCCGUGACGCUGGUGGAGACCGGAGGUGACCUCCAGAGCCCUGGUGGGUCCCUGACGCUCGUCUGCAAGGCCUCGGGCUUCACCUUCAGCAGCUACAGCAUGGAAUGGGUGCGACAAGCACCAGGGCAGGGGCUCGAGUACGUCGCAAGCAUUAGCACUGGUGGUAGCACCUACUACGCGCCAUCGGUGAAGGGUCGCUUCACCAUCUCCAGGGACACCUCCCAGAGCAUGGUCAUGCUGCAGAUGAGCAGCCUCACGACCGAGGACACGGCCACCUACUACUGCGUGAAGAGAGCUGGUGGUGGUUAUUAUGGUGCUGGUGCUGGUGCUUAUGGUGGCACCAACGUCACAAGAGGUUGCCCAAAACCUUGA